rnacentral:rRNA from 1 species
GAUGAACGCUGGCGGCGUGCCUAAUACAUGCAAGUCGAGCGGAAAGACGCGGCUCUUGCUUCUCUCAUGUUAGCGGCGGGCGGGAGUGUCACGCGUGUAUCCCCUACCUAUAUGUCUGGGAUAAUUUCGGGACUCCGGCGCUUAUCCCGGAUGAUCUUCUGAACCGCGUUGUUCAAAAGUGAAAGUCGGUCUUGCGGGCUCUUAUAGCUGCAUCUGCGCUGCAUUAGCUAGUAGGUAAGGUAACGGCUUUCCAAGGCGACUAGGCAUAACCGACGUGAGGGAGGGGUCGGCCACAUGGGAAGGUAGACGCGGUCCAGACGCCUACGGGAGGCAGCAGUAGGGUAUCGUCGGCAAAGGGCGGAAGUCUGACGGAGCAACGCCGCGUGAGAGAUGAAAGCCUUCGGAUCGUAAAACUCUGUUAUUAGGGAAGAACAGAUGUGUAAGGAACCGUGCACAGAGUGACGGUACUGAGUAAGGAAGCCACGGCUAACUACGUG